GGCUCUUUAAAAAAAGAAAAGAAAAAAAAGAGGAAAAGAGCAUGGGUUUUAAGGCCACGCAGAAACGCUUUUUUAACGAAAUAGCAGCCAUAAAAAGUGUUCUAAAAAAAAGUGAGGGAAUUAAAAAAAAAAAAAUAGAAAAAAAGAACCGUUUUAACUGUAAAUAAUUUGUUAACUGACAGGAGCGGAUGUGCAGGAGUUCCAGCACAAUGGCGGACGUGUCAUUGCUUUCACGUGGAUUAUAGCCUCUCCGCACUCUUUCCACCCUGACUUUUUAGGAGAAUCUCCAUCGAGCGAGAUUAAGGUGAUCAUUUCUCUCUUUAAAAAAAAAAAAAAAAAAUUAUUAUCAUUAUUAUACUUUUUGCUGUUUUCUUUUCUCUACUGGCAGGUCCUGGUGAUGGUUAUUCUUGUAAAACCCAUGAAGAUUUUCUUCCGUCGUGAAAUCCGGAUUUGUAGGUUUGUUUAUAAUUUAAUACAUUUUAUUUAAUUUAACUAAAUAUUUUCUGAAUUACAGUAUAUAUUUUACUUGCAUAUUUCUUGAGUCUAAAUUUGCUUGGUCUUUGCAAACGCACUGCAAUAAUUUUAUUAGAAAACUAUUUCAGUUUUGCUAAAAUAACCACUUACAUUUCUGCUAAAUAAAUGCUUGUUUUUAUUGAAAUUGGCCAUAUAUGUAAUUUUCUCCAUUGGUGCACGCUUGCACCAGAACAUAAUUUUUUUUUUAUUAUUAUUAUUAUAAUAAAUCAGAUGCUGUGGGUUAUUAGAUGCAUAUUAGCAGCUUUAUUUGAAUUAUUCAUGUGCAGGAUCUUUCACUGUGUAAUGCUCUUUAUUAAGCCUGAUUUAUAGUUUUAUUAAUGAAGAUAUUAUGUUUAUUCCAAUUAUAGUCUGUUAAAUUAAAAAUUGAAUGGUAACUGAUUUUUAUUUAUUUAUUUGCAAAAAAAAAAAAAACACAUAGAAUUAGUGUUUUUUAUUUGGUUGUGUUUAGAAGUUGGAGGAGUUGCAUAGAAAUGGAAGCGUUUCUUAGUCUGCAAGUGUCCAUGGGUUGAGUUUGUGUGUUCCUGUCUGUGGAUCUGUGUGGAUGCAGGCACAGACUGAGCAGCAGGCGGCGACAGAGUGAGGCCACAGUCUGCAGGAGGGAAGUUCAUGAGCAAACUGGGCCUGUGCUGCCCCUGAACGAGCUGCGUAAAACCAGACCCAAACACAAAAGCUGACAUUAAAUUCAUUUGGGCUUAAAAGAGUCAUCAGCCCCAAAUGAAGAAUAUGGUCCAGAGAUACAGGACUCUUUCUAUAGUCUACAUCCAUGCAUUAAAUCCGGGCCUUUUCCAAGCCUUACUCCCUACAAAUCGCUCCGAUCGGAUCAAAGUGAUGCUUAAACAUGUCAGUCAAUGCGUCCAAAGGCGCACGGGGCUGUUCAUCAACUGAAACAGGAACAAUCAAUCGCUUUAUUAGGUUUAAGGCGCCGCAGGAGCAAAUUGAAUGCUACCAGUUAGGAUAUCGUCUUAUUGGCCUCAGCUGAUGGUCGAUGAUGGGACAGUGUAAUAGUGGCUGGCACCAUAUUGAUUCUUUGGCGGCUUUGCGUGUAAGCUGUCACUUCACCGCUGGCGACCUUUAGGUUGCACAGUUGCAGCGUUUACAAAGAGACACCCCGCAUUUAGGCUGUCAAUCACCGCAGGGAGGAUGCUGGACCAGACACACAGGAGGUUUAGUUACAAAAAAAAAAAAAAAAAAAAAGAACAGAAAGAAAAAAAAAUGUCAUCAGUUAAAAUUAACACUGAGUUGCAAAGUGCAAAGUGCAGAUGUGUUUCUUUAGUUUCACUCAUCCUACUAAAAUAGAUGAGAGGUCAUUUCAUGGGUUAGAAGUUAUAUGAAAAAUGUUAAAGGCUGAGAUUUUUUGCACCAGAUAAAAUGCAUUAAAGUAACACCUUUCUCCACUAAAAAAAAAAAUAAGGAAAGAAAUAAAAAUAGCAUUUUUAUAUUUUCCACUUCUAAAAAAAAAUCAUGCACCUGUUACAUUUAUGCAACCAGUGACUAAAAUGCAACUUAGUGUAAAUAAAGUUGAGGUCAAGAAUAUUUCACAUUAAAAAAUAUUAUUGAGAAAAUUUAAAUUUGUUAAAGACUGCAUGAUUCUGAAACAAAAUUCGUAAUUAGUUGCAAAUACUCACACAGGCUUGAUUAUAAACCUUUAAAAAAUAGAUCAAUUAAAUACUUUGUAAAAAAAAAAAAUAAUAAUAAUUCAUGAUGGUAAAUUAUAGUGAGUAUUAGUUUGAUAAUGUUAUGGAAUGGAUGCGUCCAGAGCUGUGGCAUGUGCAGGGUGUGGUCUGAAGUCUGACUGACCGUCCCAUCAUCGUCCUUGACAGAUGGUUGGGGAAUUAUAUUGAUUAAAAGCUGCAAAAGGACAAACUAUCCAAUGGUAUGUAUGAUUUGGUUGUCAGAUACUAAUGAAAAAUGUCAAUAAAGACAGAAAAAAAGCGUUAAGGAAAAUCAAUGCGUGUUAUAAAUGUGAAUAAUCUAAAUGUUUUUUGCUCAUAUCAAACUCCCAUCAUGCCUGCAGGAUUCUGCUCACUCCCAAUAACCAAAUCCUUUACAAUCCUAGAACAGUGUUACUGCAGAGCACCGUGUUGCAAUGAUGUUUUAUUUCAAGUAAAGGAAAAAAAAAAAAAAAAAAAGUGUAAAUGAAGCUCCCUGACUUCAAGACAAUUUUAACACCUGGGCACAUCGAGGUCUUAUGUGUAAGUAUCAAGCAAAUAUAACACAAUUAGUGUUUUUUGUGCUGCUGACAUUCCCCGGAGGUCACAGCAAGCCAAGAGAAAAUGUAUGGUUUACAUGAGAAUUGUGAAAACAGGAGCAGGAGCAGCUUCAGCCAUCUUUUAUGCUAAUUGACAGCAAAGUUGGGACUGAACUGAAACAUGUAUAUUACUCUGAAGCAUCAUCUCUCACAAUGAGCAGCGCGUUCUUGAUCUGUGGGAACUUUGUGGAUGUUCUCUGGUCUCGGAACAUGUGUUGGGAAAGAAAUUUAAUGCGAGCGUUCACGGUGUUUGGCAAAUUUGAAGAUUUUCAGCUCUAAAAACAGAAGCACAUUUAGGAGUUAGAUUGAUAUAUUUAUUUCCUGUAAAACUGUAAAAAUGUUGGUCAAGCUUUUGGCUUAGAAUACAUCUAGGGUCUGUGAGCUGGGGUAUACAUAUGUAGCGUGGAUAGUGUGAAGAAAUGCAGCUUUUAUUUCUAUUUUAAUUACCUAAACUGUGACUGGUGCAUGUAGUGGGAAAACGGUUUACAUUUUCCUUGCAGAUUUAGUGUGUGAUUUUUCCUGUAAUAAAAAGAAUGUAGUGAAGAUGUGAAGUUGUGGAGGCUGAUAGAAAACAAAUCAGUGAGAAGAGCUUUCAUUUACUUGUAAAUUUAAUUCUUAAUAUUUCACUUUUAGUUAACUUCAGUAGUUUUUAAUGCCUGUAUAAACAUAAAAAUGCAUCUGUUAAAUAUUUAUUGUUGAGAAAUUAAGAACUCAACCUAUAAAGUUUUAAUUACUUUCUUACGAAUGAAUAGACCUGUUAAAUAUUGAUUUAUCUUGACCAUACUGUCCUAUUUUAACAUAAAUGAUGGACCGAGCACACAUCGUUUACCAUAGCAUGUGAAUGAGUUAUUAAUAAAACAUGAGUAUGAUAGUCUGGUUUUGCAGGGUGAUUGUUUUGAAUUGUGAGUGUUUUUAGACUUUUACAACUAUAUUAAGGCUCAGAGGGAACAUGCAGGACGACGUGCUUCUCCUCUGGCCAACGAACAGCAUUUUUCAUUUCAGCGUGAUGGAAAAGGCUAAGAUGAUGUGAUGGGAAUCAAAUUUUGAAUGCAAAAUUACAUCCCAGGAGCUUUGGAAUUAAAGGUUGCAACAUGAGAGCGAUCUGACAUUUACAAUGCUCCCUUUCAGAAUGGACACACUGUAUAUUAUCUCAACCUCUAAACGUCAUUUUCUGCUCAUGAGCCUGUGCUGUAAUGAAACAUGUGACAUUCAAGUUCAAUUUCAAGUGUAGGUUAGUAUUAUUCUAUGGCGUGCAAUUCAAAACAUAAUAAAAAAAAAAAAAGGGGGGGGGGGUACAACUUGAGUAAAACCUACUUUUAUUUAUCAAAGGUGAAUGCACUGGGCUUGAAUACUUCUGAUUCUAAUAAAAUAUUCUGAAAACCUG